AUGGUUUCAGGUCUCACAUUUAGAUCUUUAAUCCAUUUGGGUUUAUUUUUGUGUAUAGUGUAAGAAAGUGGUCCAGUUCCAUUCUUUUGCAUGCAGCUGUCCAGCUUUCCCAGCACCAUUUGUUGAAGAGACUGUUUUUGCUAAGAGAGUUAAGAGAAUAAAACCUAAGUGCUCUCACCGAAAGAAAAAAAAAGACUUUCCUGGUUUGAAAGCAAGUCUGAAUCCCUAAAAAACAUGGCAAAGUCUGAAAAAAAAAUAACAGGAAGAUCACCAAUGAAGUCUCUAUAGAAACAGGAAAACGACAGUUCCAGCCCUAUUCGUUGACAGAGCAGCACACUUUAAAACUUGCAAAGGAAACUAUAAAUAGGAUUGCAAAAACCAAGUUCUACCACCUAUACCAUGUUAAGAUCAAGGUAUUGCAUUUCCCUAUGUUUGAGGAAAAACACAUUAAAUAUGUUAAAGUUAAGCAUGCUAAACACUUAGAACUAAGUAUUCUAAAAAGGAGAGCUGCUCACACUUCCACUAAAGUAGUUCCACACGUAAUCUGGUGGACCAGUGGUUGGGCCAUGCGUUGGGCUGGCACCAGUGGAUCCAAGUUCUCAUCUUGACCCAACCAUUCACUGAUUAUAAGAACUUUGUGAAAAGAAACAUUUACCUCUCAUUUGGGACAGAGGCACAUGCAAGAUUUGUAUAAUUGCUACCAUGGGAUCAUUUUGAAAGUAGAUUUCUAUGUAAUAUAUGCGUUUGUG
rnacentral:lncRNA from 1 species